GAUUCCCUGAGUAGCGGCGAGCGAAACGGGAAGAGCCCAAACCAACAAGCUUGCUUGUUGGGGUUGUAGGACUCCGACAUGGUAGUCUGUUAGUAUAGUUGAAGGAUUUGGAAAAUUCCGCUAAAGAGGGUGAAAGCCCCGUAGACGAAAUGCUGACAACACCUAGGAGGAUCCUGAGUACGGCGGAACACGAGAAAUUCCGUCGGAAUCCGCGGGGACCA
rnacentral:rRNA from 1 species